rnacentral:rRNA from 1 species
GGGAGGGUGGAGGUGAAAUAUGCUGCGGGUCUAUACAUGCAAGUCGAGCGGACAGAAGGGAGCUUGCUCCCGGAUGUUAGCGGCGGACGGGUGAGUAACACGUGGGUAACCUGCCUGUAAGACUGGGAUAACUCCGGGAAACCGGAGCUAAUACCGGAUAGUUCCUUGAACCGCAUGGUUCAAGGAUGAAAGACGGUUUCGGCUGUCACUUACAGAUGGACCCGCGGCGCAUUAGCUAGUUGGUGGGGUAAUGGCUCACCAAGGCGACGAUGCGUAGCCGACCUGAGAGGGUGAUCGGCCACACUGGGACUGAGACACGGCCCAGACUCCUACGGGAGGCAGCAGUAGGGAAUCUUCCGCAAUGGACGAAAGUCUGACGGAGCAACGCCGCGUGAGUGAUGAAGGUUUUCGGAUCGUAAAGCUCUGUUGUUAGGGAAGAACAAGUGCGAGAGUAACUGCUCGCACCUUGACGGUACCUAACCAGAAAGCCACGGCUAACUACGUGCCAGCAGCCGCGGUAAUACGUAGGUGGCAAGCGUUGUCCGGAAUUAUUGGGCGUAAAGGGCUCGCAGGCGGUUUCUUAAGUCUGAUGUGAAAGCCCCCGGCUCAACCGGGGAGGGUCAUUGGAAACUGGGAAACUUGAGUGCAGAAGAGGAGAGUGGAAAUUCCACGUGUAGCGGUGAAAUGCGUAGAGAUGUGGGAGGAACACCAGUGGCGAAAGCGACUCUCUGGUCUGUAACUGACGCUGAGGAGCGAAAGCGUGGGGAGCGAACAGGAUUAGAUACCCUGGUAGUCCACGCCCGUAACGAUGAGUGCUAAGUGUUAGGGGGUUUCCGCCCCCUUAGUGCUGCAGCUAACGUCAUUAAGCACUCCGCCUGGGGGAGUACGGUCGCAGAGCUGAAACUCAAGAAUUGACGAGGGCCCGCCACAAGCGGUGGGAGCAUGUGGAUUUAUUUCGGAAGCACGGCGAGAUCUUUACAGUGUGGACAGUCGUCUGACGACCUAAAGAAUACGCCUUCCAUCCGGGACGGACUGACAGUGUGCAUGCAUGUCGUCAGCUCCGGUCAUGCAUGUUGGAUUAAGUUCAGCA